GAUCUCGUACGUGACCUGCGGAGGGUCAUUACACAAAUAUGAAGGCGGGCUGGAACCUCUCGGGGUUACAGCCUUGCUGAAUUAUUCACCCUUGUCUUUUGCGUACUUCUUGUUUCCUUGGUGGGUUCGCCCACCACUAGGACAAACAUAAACCUUUUGUAAUUGCAAUCAGCGUCAGUAACAAAUUAAUAAUUACAACUUUCAACAACGGAUCUCUUGGUUCUGGCAUCGAUGAAGAACGCAGCGAAAUGCGAUAAGUAGUGUGAAUUGCAGAAUUCAGUGAAUCAUCGAAUCUUUGAACGCACAUUGCGCCCUUUGGUAUUCCAAAGGGCAUGCCUGUUCGAGCGUCAUUUGUACCCUCAAGCUUUGCUUGGUGUUGGGCGUCUUGUCUCUAGCUUUGCUGGAGACUCGCCUUAAAGUAAUUGGCAGCCGGCCUACUGGUUUCGGAGCGCAGCACAAGUCGCACUCUCUAUCAGCAAAGGUCUAGCAUCCACUAAGCCUUUUUUUCAACUUUUGACCUCGGAUCAGGUAGGGAUACCCGCUGAACUUAA
rnacentral:rRNA from 1 species